rnacentral:rRNA from 1 species
CCGUGAAAACUCACAGCUCAACUGUGGGCGUGCGGGCGAUACGGGCAGACUGGAGUACUGCAGGGGAGACUGGAAUUCCUGGUGUAGCGGUGGAAUGCGCUGAUAUCAGGAGGAACACCGGUGGCGAAGGCGGGUCUCUGGGCAGUGACUGACGCUGAGGAGCGAAAGCGUGGGGAGCGAACAGGAUUAGAUACCCUGGUAGUCCACGCCGUAAACGGUGGGUACUAGGUGUGGGUUUCCU